rnacentral:rRNA from 1 species
AACCCACGCUAAACCUCACCCACCUUUGCAAGAACAGUCUAUAUACCUCCGUCGCCAGCCCGCCUGAAGACAGACACAAAGCGGGUAUAAUAAUUUAUCAUUAAUACGACAGGUCAAGGUGUAACUAAUAGGUAGGCAGAGAUGGGCUACAUUUUCUAACAUUGAAUAUACCUACCCCAAUAUGAAAUUUGAGGAAAAAGGUGGAUUUAGCAGUAAGCGGGGCAAGAUAGGCCCUACUGAAGCGCGCC